UCAAACACCUGCUCCAUGUUCUCCAUGUACUGGGGCGUGCCCUGGUCGAGCUCCUUCAGGGACUUCUCAUACUUAUCUUUGGUCUAAAGGAAAAUCCAGGCACAAGACAAAGGUUCAUUUCCAUUCGGCCCUUGACUCACCCCACCCCUGGAGUGUCUCAGGCCUCCCCAGAUUCCAAUGCAAAGAAAAAACAGGAGCUCUGGCUUCUGACAGACUUCAAGUUCAAGUUCCAGUCCCUCCACUCCUGCAAGGGCCUUCUGAGGAAGGAAGGAAGGAUGAGGAAGGAUGGAGUGCUUCCUGAGCCACUGCAAGCCUAUGGGGCACCCGCUCUGCCCCCAGCUGGGACUGAGUCUACCCUGCCCAUGAGGCUCCCCUCUUCCCCUCCCAGAUGCUCGCCUCUGACUCAUGUGGCUCAGGGCCCUGGGAGACUCCGCUUCAGGCUCCAAAGCAACUCCUCUCUUUGAAGCCUUCCGCAGUCUCCUGAGACCAGGUCCCACCUCGCCCUCUAGGGCUCUGACUCCUGCCCCUUUCUCCUCUCCUGGUAUCCGGGUCCUUGCUCUGCUUCUCAGCCUCCUCAGAUGGCUGGGCUUGGGUCCUCUGUGCCUACAGGAAAAGGCCACCCCUGCCAGGGCUGGGGCAUGCCCAGCAGAAAGAGAGCUCCACAGCGCUGUGGUGAUUCCUAUUCCCCACCGCCAUCGACACUGCCCGUGCCCACUACCUGGCAGCCCUGCAUAGGAGCCUAGCUCAGAAGCCCAAGACACACAGCUGUGGGUUCAGCGCCCGGCAUCUGGAGGAUACUGCUUAAGUGACACAGCAGUCCCAUCUCAGGAGCCUUCAAGACACAGUAGCCUCCCAGAAGCUCUCAGGGUACUAGUGGCAACAAGAUGCUCCACCUCUGGACUGCCCCUGCCCUCAGCCUGUGCCGACCCUGCUGGCCCCAAGUCCUGCCCCCAGCACAGGCCAGGUACUGAGCAGGGUCAUCACUGUUCUGGAAACCCCCUUGCAGGGCACAGAAAGUUCUCAAUGAAUACCCAUGGAGUAAAACAAAAGGCGGCCUUCACCCUUAGGUAGAUUGUAAUAUUUUCGCACUAAAUGCAAAAAGUUCUUUUCUGA